GAUGAACGCUGGCGGUGUGCCUAAUACAUGCAAGUCGAGCGAACAGACGAGGAGCUUGCUCCUCUGACGUUAGCGGCGGACGGGUGAGUAACACGUGGAUAACCUACCUAUAAGACUGGGAUAACUUCGGGAAACCGGAGCUAAUACCGGAUAAUAUAUUGAACCGCAUGGUUCAAUAGUGAAAGACGGUUUUGCUGUCACUUAUAGAUGGAUCCGCGCCGCAUUAGCUAGUUGGUAAGGUAACGGCUUACCAAGGCAACGAUGCGUAGCCGACCUGAGAGGGUGAUCGGCCACACUGGAACUGAGACACGGUCCAGAUUCCUACGGGAGGCAGCAGUAGGGAAUCUUCCGCAAUGGGCGAAAGCCUGACGGAGCAACGCCGCGUGAGUGAUGAAGGUCUUCGGAUCGUAAAACUCUGUUAUUAGGGAAGAACAAAUGUGUAAGUAACUAUGCACGUCUUGACGGUACCUAAUCAGAAAGCCACGGCUAACUACGUG
rnacentral:rRNA from 1 species